rnacentral:rRNA from 1 species
UGGGGGAUAUUGCACAAUGGGCGAAAGCCUGAUGCAGCGACGCCGCGUGGGGGAUGAAGGCCUUCGGGUUGUAAACUUCUUUUGCUCUGAACAAGGCAUGCUAAUGGGUGUGUUGAGUGUAGGGGUUGAUUAGCGCCGGCUAACUACGUGCCAGCAGCCGCGGUAAUACGUAGGGCGCGAGCGUUGUCCGGAAUGAUUGGGCGUAAAGGGCUUGUAGGUGGCUGGUUGCGUCUGUCGUGAAAGCUCAUGGCUUAACUGUGGGUUUGCGGUGGGUACGGGCUGGCUGGAGUGCAGUAGGGGAGGCUGGAAUUCCUGGUGUAGCGGUGGAAUGCGCAGAUAUCAGGAGGAAUACCGGUGGCGAAGGCGGGUCUCUGGGCUGUUACUGACACUGAGGAGCGAAAGCAUGGGGAGCGAACAGG